rnacentral:rRNA from 12 species
GGUAGGACUACCCGCUGAACUUAAGCAUAUCAAU